rnacentral:tRNA from 1 species
GCCUGGGUGGCGGAAUGGCAGACGCGGCGGACUCAAAAUCCGCAGUAGGCAACUACGUGGGGGUUCGAGUCCCUUCCCGGGCACCA